rnacentral:rRNA from 1 species
UACGUAGGGUGCGAGCGUUGUCCGGAAUUAUUGGGCGUAAAGAGCUUGUAGGCGGUUUGUCGCGUCUGCUGUGAAAAUCCGGGGCUCAACCCCGGACUUGCAGUGGGUACGGGCAGACUAGAGUGUGGUAGGGGAGACUGGACUUCCUGGUGUAGCGGUGAAAUGCGCAGAUAUCAGGAGGAACACCGGUGGCGAAGGCGGGUCUCUGGGCAGUAACUGACGCUGAGAAGCGAAAGCGUGGGUAGCGAACAGG